UGGAGCUCCUGCCCCAGUUGAAUUUUUUGUUUCUCUUCCACUCUUUCAAAUGCUUUCUGUACCACCCGGCAGCCGUAAGUACCCAGAGACAAGCUCAACACAUAACCCUGGAGCUGCUCGCCGAGAGCAGCGACCUGCGCGGGGUUACCAUACUCAAAUAGUUUUUGGAUGACGUAGUUGCCAAAUACAUCGGCCA
rnacentral:sRNA from 1 species